CCUACGGGUGGCAGCAGUGGGGAAUAUUGCACAAUAGGGGAAACCCUGAUGCAGCGACGCCGCGUGAGUGAAGAAGUAUUUCGGUACGUAAAGCUCUAUCAGCAGGGAAGAAAAUGACGGUACCUGACUAAGAAGCCCCGGCUAACUACGUGCCAGCAGCCGCGGUAAUACGUAGGGGGCAAGCGUUAUCCGGAUUUACUGGGUGUAAAGGGAGCGUAGACGGCAGCGCAAGUCUGGAGUGAAAUCCCAUGGCUUAACCAUGGAACUGCUUUGGAAACUGUGCAGCUAGAGUGCAGGAGAGGUAAGCGGAAUUCCUAGUGUAGCGGUGAAAUGCGUAGAUAUUAGGAGGAACACCAGUGGCGAAGGCGGCUUACUGGACUGUAACUGACGUUGAGGCUCGAAAGCGUGGGGAGCAAACAGGAUUAGAUACCCCAGUAGUC
rnacentral:rRNA from 1 species